UGGAUUAGCGGCGAACGGGUGAGGAACACGUGAAGAAUCUGCCCUCCACUUUGGGAUAACACCGGGAAACCGGUGCUAAUACCGAAUAUUGAAACAUAAGUGGCAUCACUGAGUUUUGAAAGAAUUUCGGUGGAGGAUAACUUCGCGGCCUAUCAGCUAGUUGGUGAGGUAAUGGCUCACCAAGGCAACGACGGGUAGCCGGCCUGAGAGGGCGACCGGCCACACUGGGACUGAGACACGGCCCAGACUCCUACGGGAGGCAGCAGUGGGGAAUAUUGGGCAAUGGAGGAAACUCUGACCCAGCGACGCCGCGUGCGGGAUGAAGGCCUUCGGGUUGUAAACCGCUUUCAGUAGGGAAGAAGCGAAAGUGACGGUACCUACAAAAGAAGCACCGGCUAACUAUGUGCCAGCAGCCGCGGUAAUACAUAGGGUGCAAGCGUUGUCCGGAAUUAUUGGGCGUAAAGAGCUCGUAGGUCGUUUGUUACGUCGGAUGUGAAAACCUGAGGCUCAACCUCAGGCCUGCAUUCGAUACGGGCAAACUAGAGUUUGGUAGGGGAGACUGGAAUUCCUGGUGUAGCGGUGGAAUGCGCAGAUAUCAGGAGGAACACCAAUGGCGAAGGCAGGUCUCUGGGCCAAUACUGACACUGAGGAGCGAAAGUCUGGGGAGCGAACAGGAUUAGAUACCCUGGUAGUCCAGACCGUAAACGGUGGGCACUAGUUGUGGG
rnacentral:rRNA from 1 species